UGGGGAAUAUUGCACAAUGGGCGCAAGCCUGAUGCAGCAACGCCGCGUGAGGGACGACGGCCUUCGGGUUGUAAACCUCUUUUAGUAGGGAAGAAGCGAAAGUGACGGUACCUGCAGAAAAAGCACCGGCUAACUACGUGCCAGCAGCCGCGGUAAUACGUAGGGUGCAAGCGUUGUCCGGAAUUAUUGGGCGUAAAGAGCUCGUAGGCGGUUUGUCGCGUCUGCUGUGAAAACCCGAGGCUCAACCUCGGGCCUGCAGUGGGUACGGGCAGACUAGAGUGCGGUAGGGGAGAAUGGAAUUCCUGGUGUAGCGGUGGAAUGCGCAGAUAUCAGGAGGAACACCGAUGGCGAAGGCAGUUCUCUGGGCCGUAACUGACGCUGAGGAGCGAAAGCGUGGGGAGCGAACAGGAUUAGAUACCCUGGUAGUCCACGCCGUAAACGUUGGGCGCUAGAUGUGGGGACCAUUCCACGGUUUCCGUGUCGCAGCUAACGCAUUAAGCGCCCCGCCUGGGGAGUACGGCCGCAAGGCUAAAACUCAAAGGAAUU
rnacentral:rRNA from 1 species